AUGGCGGGAGUUGUAGUCCUCGGCCUCUGAGGGCCAAGUGGGCGGGAGGCGUCGCCGCCGCGCUCUGGGCCUGGCGAUGGCCGCGGGAGGAGCCCUCGGAGGGGCUGCCGGGCUCUGACGGCCAGGGAUGGAGGUGGGCGAGCAGGAGGAGAGCAGUUUCCUUAAGGAAGCGAAGACUCCCGAUCUACUGCUGCUCAAGAUCUUCAGUUCGAAGGAGCUUGAGAAUAAAGGAAAGGAACUGGGCACUUCUUGCUUUACAGAGCAGAGUGAGAUUCCAUGUAGUCCACCCUCCAAAGUUGCUUUUCAUCUGGAUAAACUGAUCUCUGUCCUGUUUCUGGGAGAACUCCAGGCCCCACGUAGAGGCUGGCAACCCUAUUUCUUCUCACGAUUACCAAGCUCCUUGUCACUAAAUAAUUACAGCAGCCAAACUACCAUUACGUGUGUUGUCCUUAACCACCCAGGGCCUUAGCAGCAGUCAUCAUCUUAAUGGGCAUCUUGCUAAUUGCCAAGUCUUCCAUGGGUGUUGGGAGGGAUCCUUUCCUCUCCAAAAUAAUGAAUGAAAGUACGUGCGCCCUUUCAGAACUGGGAAAUAAGGACCGAAAGAAGCACGUUGAUGCACGUCUGCUGCUCUGUGGCUAUAUUCCAUACAAUUUUGACACAUAUAAGCAUCCACAUACAAUAUGCAAUACUGAGUGCUAAUACACUUAAAUGACAGGUCAGUCUCUUUGGGAGAAAGUCAAACGAUUGUAAUGAUCAGCGCAAGGCUGUGCCGUUCAUCGUAUUAAAGGAUACAGUCUUAUUGUUAUUUCCAUUCGCUGUAUAUCUUAUAUCCCAUGUGCAAUUUCUUAUUCUUUGAGUCUAUAAUCACUUUGCUGCUCUCAGGACAUGUAUACGUUCAUGUCCUGAGAGCAGCAAAGUGAUUAUAGACCAGUGGUGGCGAACCUUUGGCACUCCAGAUGUUAUGGACUGCAAUUCCCAUCAGCCCCUGCCAGCUUGGCCUAUUGUAGGGGCUGAUGGGAAUUGUAGUCCAUAACAUCUGGAGUGCCAAAGGUUCGCCACCACGGUUAUAGACUCAAAGAAUAAGAAUUGAACAUAAGAACAUAAUUGCACAUGAGAUGUAAGAUAUACAGUGAAUGGAAAUAACAAUAAGACUGUAUCCUUUAAUAUGAUGAACGGCACAACCUUGCGCUGAUCAUUACAAUCGUUUGACUUCUCCCAAAGAGACUUACCUGUCAUUUAAGUGUAUUAGCUCUCAAUAUUGUAUAUUGUAUGUGUAUGCUUAUAUGUGUCAAAACUGUAUGGAAUAUAGCCACAGAGCAGCAUACGUUCGUUAUGUGCUUCUUUCGUUCCUUAUUUCCCAGUCCUUUCCUCUCCCUCGAUGCCUGUUUCUUCUCUGGGGUUAACUCUUCGAGUGUCUUUUCCCCUUCUGCAUUCUGUCUCCUUGGCCUCUGUAGAUGCUUGCUUGGAAAGGGGUAAAUGGGCUACCCUCCUUCUGAUUUGUUCCUGGUAAACCAGGCUGUAGCCCGAGAACUCUGCGGGCUCUAAAUGCCUGGCUGGGAGGGAGGAGACGCGCCCCGCCUCUCGUGGGCGGAACAGCCGGGCUUCGGUUCAGGGUUGAACAAGCAGCUGCUUGUAAUGCUGACUUUUUUCAAAUAGAUUUUGUGACUUCCUGCCUGCCUAGUUCUAAAGCCAGGGGAUGAGUGGAUUGGAUGUGCUAAAAGGUAACACUUUUUAAAUUCCUUUCUGGAAUUCAAGGUCGGUUCAGGCUUAAACGUUCCGGCAAGUAGCUUUGGAAGGACUGUUACAGCAUUGCUAAGUAGGACAUUUUUUUGUAACUUGAUAGUGCUUUUGGAGGGAAAGAAAAUACAGUUUGUGCAUUCAUCUUU